UCGGCGAGGGUGAGAAGACGAGGGCGAAGCGGCGAUGGCGGAGCGUAACGGCAAGCACGGCGGCGACUCGGUAUGAGCUUUCAUGGUCGUUGACCCCGCUUCUCCUUCGCUUCUUCUUCGCUUCUUCUUCGAUUCUUCGAAAGGGGUUUCGAAUCCCUAACCCCAAUCCUUUGUUUCCUCGGUCUCCGGCAAUGGCGGUGAUUCAUAGGGAUGCAAUCAUUGUAGUUAGAGAAACCGAAGGAGAUACUCUAACUAGCGGUGAUUCAUAGGGAUGCAAUGGGAACGAAACAACUCCGGUUUGCGAAGAAAAAAGGCGAAGGGCAUCGAGUUCUCACCGAUACCGUGCCGGUGAUGGUAGGACCCGAUCAUGGCUUCUCUCUUCAUGACUAGCGGUGGUGGCCGAUACUUUUAGCAUCGUCACG